GCCAGCAGCCGCGGUAAUACGGAGGAUGCAAGCGUUAUCCGGAUUUAUUGGGUUUAAAGGGUCCGCAGGCGGAUCAAUAAGUCAGUGGUGAAAGCCCAUAGCUCAACUAUGGAACUGCCAUUGAAACUGUUGAUCUUGAUUCUAGUUGACGUAGGCGGAAUGUGACAUGUAGCGGUGAAAUGCAUAGAUAUGUCACAGAACACCGAUUGCGAAGGCAGCUUACGAAACUAUGAAUGACGCUCAUGGACGAAAGCGUGGGUAGCGAACAGGAUUAGAUACCCUGGUAGUCCACGCCGUAAACGAUGAUCACUCGAUGUCAGCGAUAUACUGUUGGUGUCCAAGCGAAAGUAUUAAGUGAUCCACCUGGGGAGUACGUUCGCAAGAAUGAAACUCAAAGGAAUUGACGGGGGCCCGCACAAGCGGUGGAGCAUGUGGUUUAAUUCGAUGAUACGCGAGGAACCUUACCUGGGCUUAAAUGUAGAGUGCUUUUCAUGGAAACAUGAUUUUCUUCGGACGCUCUACAAGGUGCUGCAUGGCUGUCGUCAGCUCGUGCUGUGAGGUGUCGGGUUAAGUCCCAUAACGAGCGCAACCCCUAUUUCUAGUUGCUAGCAGGUAAUGCUGAGGACUCUAGAGAGACUGCCGGUGCAAACCGUGAGGAAGGUGGGGAUGACGUCAAGUCAGCACGGCCCUUACGUCCAGGGCUACACACGUGCUACAAUGGUGGGUACAGAGGGCAGCUACUUGGUGACAAGAUGCUAAUCUGGAAAGCCUAUCUCAGUUCGGAUCGGAGUCUGAAACUCGACUCCGUGAAGCUGGAAUCG
rnacentral:rRNA from 1 species